AAUGUCGUCCUGUACUCGAGCGAUCGAGUCUCGACUGAUUUAUAUCAUUAUGAUUAUGAUAACAAUACCUUGAAAGUAAGAUAGUGGUUUAAAAAGAAAAAAAUUAUGGUUGGCUUCCUUUCACUCCAGAUCAUUGUCAAAACAAGAAGUAAUUGUUUACACCUGCACGUUAAUCCAAGUUUAAGGCGUCUAGCUGUGCCUUGUUCACACCUGUUGUCAUGUGAUUAAAAUAUAAAAGAUGACUUAGGAAUUGUUAUGGAGAUAACACUAUUGUAAAUAUGCUUUGAAUAAACAGCCAUUGUUUUCAAG